GUGCAUAUUUCCUUACUUUCUCUUUACAUCAAGACAAAAGAUAUUUCUGAAGUGUUAAAUAAACCUUUGCAGGGGGGCAGUAAAUUAGCAGCAUGGCUAACUUAGCCAUUGCUGUCAGUCACCUUCAGAUAAGA
rnacentral:snoRNA from 1 species